rnacentral:rRNA from 1 species
UGGGGAAUCUUGGACAAUGGGGGCAACCCUGAUCCGGCCAUGCCGCGUGAGUGAAGAAGGCCUUAGGGUUGUAAAGCUCUUUUGGCGGGGAGGAUAAUGACCGUACCCGCAGAAUAAGCCCCGGCUAACUCCGUGCCAGCAGCCGCGGUAAGACGGAGGGGGCUAGCGUUGUUCGGAAUUACUGGGCGUAAAGGGUGCGUAGGCGGUUUGGUCAGUCAGCGGUGAAAUCCCAGAGCUUAACUUUGGAACUGCCGUUGAUACUGCCAGGCUUGAGGACGAAAGAGGUGAGUGGAAUUCCAAGUGUAGAAGUGAAAUUCGUAGAUAUUUGGAGGAACACCGAAGGCGAAGGCAGCUCACUGGGUCGUUACUGACGCUGAGGCACGAAAGUGUGGGGAUCAAA